UACAGAGGGUGCAAGCGUUGUUCGGAAUUAUUGGGCGUAAAGCGCGUGUUAGGCGGCUUUGCAAGUCGGAUGUGAAAGCCCUCGGCUCAACCGAGGAAGUGCGUUCGAAACUGCAGAGCUUGAGUGCCGGAGAGGGUGGCGGAAUUCCCCAAGUAGAGGUGAAAUUCGUAGAUAUGGGGAGGAACAGCCGGUGGGCGAAAGGCGGCCAUACCUGGGUCCGG
rnacentral:rRNA from 1 species